UGGCGAACGGGUGAGUAACACGUGAGCAACCUGCCCCUGACUCUGGGAUAAGCGCUGGAAACGGCGUCUAAUACUGGAUAUGUGACGUGACCGCAUGGUCUGCGUUUGGAAAGAUUUUUCGAAAUGGGAACUUCCUCGCGGCCUAUCAGCUUGUUGGUGAGGUAAUGGCUCACCAAGGCGUCGACGGGUAGCCGGCCUGAGAGGGUGACCGGCCACACUGGGACUGAGACACGGCCCAGACUCCUACGGGAGGCAGCAGUGGGGAAUAUUGCACAAUGGGCGGAAGCCUGAUGCAGCAACGCCGCGUGAGGGAUGACGGCCUUCGGGUUGUAAACCUCUUUUAGCAGGGAAGAAGCGAAAGUGACGGUACCUGCAGAAAAAGCGCCGGCUAACUACGUGCCAGCAGCCGCGGUAAUACGUAGGGCGCAAGCGUUAUCCGGAAUUAUUGGGCGUAAAGAGCUCGUAGGCGGUUUGUCGCGUCUGCUGUGAAAUCCCGAGGCUCAACCUCGGGCCUGCAGUGGGUACGGGCAGACUAGAGUGCGGUAGGGGGAGAUUGGAAUUCCUGGUGUAGCGGUGGAAUGCGCAGAUAUCAGGAGGAACACCGAUGGCGAAGGCAGAUCUCUGGGCCGUAACUGACGCUGAGGAGCGAAAGGGUGGGGAGCAAACAGGCUUAGAUACCCUGGUAGUCCACCCCGUAAACGUUGGGAACUAGUUGUGGGGUCCAUUCCACGGAUUCCGUGACGCAGCUAACGCAUUAAGUUCCCCGCCUGGGGAGUACGGCCGCCAAGGCUAAAACUCAAAGGAAUUGACGGGGACCCGCACAAGCGGCGGAGCAUGCGGAUUAAUUCGAUGCAACGCGGAGAACCUUACCAAGGCUUGACAUAUACGAGAACGGGCCAGAAAUGGUCAACUCUUUGGACACUCGUAAACAGGUGGUGCAUGGUUGUCGUCAGCUCGUGUCGUGAGAUGUUGGGUUAAGUCCCGCAACGAGCGCAACCCUCGUUCUAUGUUGCCAGCACGUAAUGGUGGGAACUCAUGGGAUACUGCCGGGGUCAACUCGGAGGAAGGUGGGGAUGACGUCAAAUCAUCAUGCCCCUUAUGUCUUGGGCUUCACGCAUGCUACAAUGGCCGGUACAAAGGGCUGCAAUACCGUGAGGUGGAGCGAAUCCCAAAAAGCCGGUCCCAGUUCGGAUUGAGGUCUGCAACUCGACCUCAUGAAGUCGGAGUCGCUAGUAAUCGCAGAUCAGCAACGCUGCGGUGAAUACGUUCCCGGGUCUUGUACACACCGCCCGUCAAGUCAUGAAAGUCGGUAACACCUGAAGCCGGUGGCCUAACCCUUGUGGA
rnacentral:rRNA from 1 species